rnacentral:rRNA from 1 species
CCGAGAGGCAGGAGUGCCUGCAAGGGAGCGCGGAGACAGGUGGUGCAUGGCUGUCGUCAGCUCGUGUCGUGAGAUGUUGGGUUAAGUCCCGCAACGAGCGCAACCCUCACCUCUUGUUGCCAUCAGGUCAUGCUGGGCACUCUAGAGGAACUGCCCCGGUCAACGGGGAGGAAGGCGGGGAUGACGUCAAGUCAUCAUGCCCCUUACGUCCUGGGCUACACACGUGCUACAAUGGCCGGUACAAAGGGAUGCCACACCGCGAGGUAGAGCUAAACCCAAAAAGCCGGUCUAAGUUCGGAUUGGAGUCUGCAACUCGACUCCAUGAAGGAGGAAUCGCUAGUAAUCGCGUAUCAGCACGACGCGGUGAAUACGUUCCCGGGCCUUGUACACACCGCCCGUCACACCACGAAAGCCAG